GGCGUCGGCGAGCGCAGCAGCAGCGGCAAAAGCGGCAGCGUGAGGCAGCGGAAUCGCGCGACGUGUGGCAGCGGCUUCCGAGCGUCGUUCCGGCCGUUUCCGGUGGCCUUUCCGGCCGAUCUCGGUGGCGAUCAACUCCCCUUGGAGAGAGCUUCCUUUUGGCGGCAGCGGCGUCGGUUUUGGUGGCCGGAGGAGAGAGUUCCGGCGAAGUGGAGGCAGCCGCGUUUUUGGGCUUUUCCGGCGAGCUCCGGCGGAGGAUGGAUGAUCGGAGGACGUAUCCCGACUCUCCUCAGCUCAAGCUUCGCGAUGGCACUGGUUUCGUGGCGAUCGGGCUUCGUUGGCAAAUCGACGGUCGAGAUCGUCC
rnacentral:lncRNA from 1 species